UUUUUUUUUUUUUUUUUUUUUUUCCCCUUUCCUUUUUCCACCCCCCUCCCUCCCCGGCUUCCUUUCUUUGUAGCCACCUCAGGGGAAGCAACAGAUCGUCACUCGGUGUUCUCACCGAAAGCACGUAAUCGCCGGUGUAACUCAUGUUGGCUGGGGGGCCUCCCGGCGCGCGGCGAGGCUGAGGUGCGCCCCAUGCCGCUCGCCUGUGCUCAGCUGCACGGCGCUGGCCCUCAAGUGCGCCGAGGGCGGUGAGAGAGCUCAACUCCUGCCACCCAUCACUCCCCGGGUGAGGGAUGCCCCAGGCUGGGGGUGGCCGGGUGGGAGCUCGUCGCUGCGUGGCCCGUGCGCGGUCCUGGAAUCUAUUCUCCUGGAGGCUCGCGUGCGCACCUCCUUCGCUCUCCCCCUCCCACAAGCUCGCUCUGGGAACCACCUCUGUCUCGGACUCCGGCCGGACCCCUCCGGGGCCAGGGUUCGCAGCCGUGGAUGUGCCUGCCUCGUGGCUUGCCCGAUUUGCACGGUGACUUGAUUACACGCUCGCAUUCAUGGUCACUUCCGAAGCGCUUUAGUGCCUUCCGUCCCUAAACCGCCAACCACCAGGGCGACUUCCCCCCGCGGUUUGUCAGGCAUCUGCAGGUCCCGGAAGGGCCUUCGUCUUACCCGGGAUCCACCUCCACUUCAUCCUCCCUGCCGACCUCCUCACUUCACCCCUUGCCCUUGAAGAAACCUCUUCCUCCUCGCUGCCUGCCGUGGGUUCGGAGUCGCUCGGCGGAGCCAGAGGCCUGGGGGCUGCGCCACUGUGCACGGUCCGCCCGCCUGCCUGGUCUUCUGGAGCUGAGGACUCGGGAAACCGUGCAGUGGAGGCGAGCCUUGGGCUGCUUAGAGGCGCUGAUAUCCGAGGAGAUUUUUCCUGGGCAUGCUGCACCUUCCGGGGGCCCACCAGGCUGCCGGCGGAGCUGCAGAGCUGAAGGAGAGUGGGGGCAGUGAGGAGGAAGGAGGCUAGGGCCAGGGAGCUGUGGCUGAGAAAGGGGUAACACGCCUCCUCUCCUUCCUUGCAAAGCAUGAGAGCCAGAGAUGUGCAAGCAGAAACUGAGAAGGCUCGGCGCCUUUUCUGCCUCUCAUCCCACAGAAGGAACACAAUGCUAAAGAAAAGAACCAUGCUUCCCAAACUCCCGGCAAGGAUUGAAUGAUCGUCGUUUGGGAGAAGUGAAAGAAGAGGGCAUAGAGCAACCAAGCAGGACUGGGGACUGGGAGGGGCCCAGAAGCCUUCCCACACCUAUCUUCUUGGAAGGAGCUGGAUGUCACUGAAGGAAAGUCGAAAAAUGAAAAAGGAUAACCUUUUCCCUUUCCCCAUCCAGGAAAUAGCCGAAGGAGACCCAACAGCCGGAGGGAGCCCACCCGGCUCAGGGGAAGACCUGACGGGUGCUAAGCCCACCCUGGAAAGCCAAGUCCGAGUUGCAUUUCUUGAGGAGAUCGGGUGGGCAAGGCUAUGACAUUGGCCCUGGCGGCUGGUUGUCCGUGAACUGUUCUUUCUCAGGAGCUCCACAGCGCGAGGCCAUCUCCAGAAAACAGUCUUCAGCAUGUAUUUCCUUUUAUCCUCAACCCAAAACCCCACGGCAGCUAAUGCAAAAGGCCAAAAAUGUUUUGGAGGAAGAAAAACAAAGGCAGGAAGUGGCGGCGGCCUGACGGUGCGUGUGUGUCUGCGGAGAAGGGAGGGAGCCUUUUCAAUCUCUUCUUGUUGUUUUUCCAAACUUCAAGGUCUAGGCAGCCCUCGCAGGGCCGGGCCCUUUCGCUCCCCAAGCAGCAUUUGGAGAUGGCCACCCGGAGAGGAGAAGGCUCGCGCCCGCGCCAGCCUUGUCAAGCGGAAACAGCUAACGAGGCGAUUUGCUCAGCAAAGCAGACCAAGCCUUUGCAAGGCUCCGUUUGAUUUGGCCCGAAAUAGGAGGAGGGGGGGUUUGAGAGGUUCGGCAGUACCUCCUGGAUUCUCCUUGCUGGGGCUGAGUGCGCCCUGGUGGGGAUGAUUCCUGUGUCCUGCGCUCCACCCACCUUCCCAGGCAAGAUACUGGAAUAAAUUGUGUCCAGGUGCCUCU